UACGGAGGGUGCGAGCGUUGUCCGGAAUCAUUGGGCGUAAAGGGCGCGUAGGUGGCGGGACAAGCGUGCGGUGAAAGCCUGGGGCUCAACCCCGGGUCGGCCGUGCGAACUGUUUUGCUUGAGCACUGUAGAGGCAGGCGGAAUUCCGGGUGUAGCGGUGGAAUGCGUAGAGAUCCGGAAGAACACCAGUGGCGAAGGCGCUACCUGGACCGGUUCUGACGCUGAGGCGCGAAAGCGUGGGUAGCAAACAGG
rnacentral:rRNA from 1 species